rnacentral:lncRNA from 1 species
UCUCUUUUAUAACUUCUUCUGCUUAUCAUUAUCUACAGAAAGUCCUUCCUGAUUCCAAAGAGCAGUCUGAUCCAAGUUAUUUCAACUGGGGGGCUAGCACAUCCUCUUCCUCUUCCAAGGCCAGGGCCCACUUCACAGGCAUCUGAUUCAGAAGAUUUCCCUCCCUAACUAGACUCAUCAAACCCCAAGCUUCCUUUCUCUGCUCACUCUUUUGCAUAAUUACACAGUGAGGUCAUGUGUUUACCAUACCAUUGUUCCAUCGCCAUGGAGAUGAUGAGCGACAAAGCACUGGCAAGAAGCCUCCCAUGCAGGAUGAAGCCAAGGAAGAAGAGAAGAGAGGAAGGACACGCCCAUUAACCAAAGGACCCAAAACAUAUCUCAAGGAGCUCAUGAAGUCAUCCUCAUGCACACAGUUUCCCAGGUGUCAGAUCUGUUUGGGCCACAAACCUAAGAAGAACAUCAUGUGAGGAUGAAGGCAGAGAGCAGGGUGAUGCAGCUGAAGCCAAGGACACUGAAGACUUCCUGCAAACCCCCAGAAGCUGGGGCAGAGGCCCUCCAGUCUCCAGAAGAGGCCAACCAUGCUGAUACCUUGACCUUGGACUCCUAGCCCCAGAACUAUGAGAAAUAAAUUUCUGUUAUUUAAGUCA